rnacentral:tRNA from 1 species
GGCCCGUUCGUCUAUCGGUUCAGGACGGCACCCUUUCACGGUGCAGAGACGGGUUCGACUCCCGUACGGGCUA